CUUGAACAAAAACAGAACGGUCAGUGAUGCAUGUGUUUACUAAGGUCGGCCAAUAAAAUGCAGAAUGCAACUUCUUGCCGUCUAACGCCAGACGUACGGUUCGAAUAAGCAGAAAUGUGAAAGUUGCUGCUCUCGGAACAACCAAGCACAACAAACAAAAUGGCGAGGACCGUGAUGCGCAUGCGCAGUGUACCAUCGAUAAUGAUUUUCGCAUGAACGUCAAUGUCGUCAUAAAUCGACGUCUGCUUCAAAAUGACGUUUGGACGUUUGAACAGCAGGAUCUUGAUCUUCAAAAAACACAUUUGUGGUAUGUGAUUUCAAACACCCGUUUUUUGACAGGACAGUGCUAACUCUUUUCACAGUGAUAGUGUUUCUUUAAUCAUAACGCGACUAAAUAGUUAAGAAGCCAACACGUGUUGUGGGGCCUCGUCCACGCGAGCUGUGGAAUUUCAAGAUAUAAUGUCUCAUACGGCACACGUAAACAUAUAUACGUGAAUGCACUGUAUCACUAUUUACUCUUCAUAUCAAUAUCCGUUACUGUAUUCAGUCUUACAAUACAAUCGAUUGGUGUACACGAUUUAGAUCUAAAUAGUAAAUAUCGUUCCGUACGCAGGUCUCAACUAAAUCGGGGAUUUGGUUUAUUUAAUAUUUGUUAAAUAACUAUGGUGCAUUGAUGGCAGUGGGACUGUGAAUUCACGUUGAACUAGAAAAUAAUAGUGUGUUUAAAUGCUCACGCACCAAUGGCCAGUCGAGCAAUUGUUUACUAUACAUUCCCACUUGCUCUCCUGAUCGCGGUUAAAUUAUCUUGAUGUGUAUGGGGAAAUUUGAAGCUGACGUGAUUACAUGAACCUCGACAUAAAUUAUGUUCAACAGAUAAAACACCAUUACCAUCUUCU